rnacentral:rRNA from 1 species
CCUAACCAGAAAGCCACGGCUAACUACGUGCCAGCAGCCGCGGUAAUACGUAGGUGGCAAGCGUUGUCCGGAAUUAUUGGGCGUAAAGCGCGCGUAGGCGGUUUCUUAAGUCUGAUGUGAAAGCCCCGGCUCAACCGGGGAGGGUCAUUGGAAACUGGGGAACUUGAGUGCAGAAGAGGAGAGUGGAAUUCCACGUGUAGCGGUGAAAUGCGUAGAGAUGUG